GACGAACGCUGGCGGCGUGCUUAACACAUGCAAGUCGAACGGAAAGGCCCUGCUUUUGUGGGGUGCUCGAGUUGCUAACGUGUCAGUAACACGUGAGUAACCUGCCCUUUACUUUGCGAUAACUUCAGUAAACUUGGGCUACUACCUGUUAUUCGCUCCUGCUGCAUGGUGUGGGUUGGAUAGUUUCGGCUGUUGGGGUUGGACUCGCGGCUUAUCAGCUUGUUGGUGGGCUAGUGGCUUACCUAGGCUUUGACGGGUAGCCGGCCUGAGAGGGGGACCGGCGUCAUUGGGACUGAGAUACGGCCCAGACUCCUAGGGGAGGCAGCAGUGGGGAAUAGUGCACAAAGGGCGGAAGGCUGAGGCAGCAACGCCGGGUGCGGGAUGACGGCCUUCGGGUUGUAAACCGCUUUCGCCUGUGACGAAGCGUGAGUGACGGUAAUGGGUAAAGAAGCACCGGCUAACUACGUG
rnacentral:rRNA from 1 species